rnacentral:rRNA from 1 species
CUAGCCGUAAACGAUGUGAACUUGGCGUCGGUGGGAUUAAAUCCAUCGGUGUCGUAGCUAACGUGAUAAGUUCACCGCCUGAGGACUACGGCCGCAAGGUUAAAACUUAAAGGAAUUGACGGGUACCCGCACAAGCAGCGGAGCGUGUGGUUUAAUUCGUUGCUACACGAAGAACCUUACCUGGGUUUGACAUAUAGGUGGUAGAGAACUGAAAAGGGAUCGACCCUUCGGGGAGCCUAUACAGGUGU